GAUGAACGCUGGCGGCGUGCCUAAUACAUGCAAGUCGAGCGAACAGACGAGGAGCUCGCUCCUCUGACGUUAGCGGCGGACGGGUGAGUAACACGUGGAUAACCUACCUAUAAGACUGGGAUAACUUCGGGAAACCGGAGCUAAUACCGGAUAAUAUAUUGAACCGCAUGGUUCAAUAGUGAAGGACGGUUUUGCUGUCACUUAUAGAUGGAUCCGCGCCGCAUUAGCUAGUUGGUAAGGUAACGGCUUACCAAGGCGACGAUGCGUAGCCGACCUGAGAGGGUGAUCGGCCACACUGGAACUGAGACACGGUCCAGACUCCUACGGGAGGCAGCAGUAGGGAAUCUUCCGCAAUGGGCGAAAGCCUGACGGAGCAACGCCGCGUGAGUGAUGAAGGUCUCCGGAUCGUAAAACUCUGUUAUUAGGGAAGAACAAAUGUGUAAGUAACUAUGCACGUCUUGACGGUACCUAAUCAGAAAGCCACGGCUAACUACGUG
rnacentral:rRNA from 1 species